UUUUUUCCCAGGCCAGGCAUUUUUUUCCUGUGUUCUCAACAAUAAGUUCCAGCAACUGAGUACUUGCAGGUGACCCCACAAACCAGCAAGGCUGAACUUUCAAUCCCUGGUUGUUCUUCCAAGUUCAAGCACAUUGUGGGAAGACGCAUACAAGUCAUUCUGUGUGAGGAGGCUGCCUUUGAUGCUCCCUUGCUCCUGGAUCUGUCCUCAGAACAGACUGAAGAAGGGACACUGCAGCUUCCUUUCCCUGGUGGAAAUUCUUGGGGGAGAAUUAGGGAUUUAAGAGAACUAAACAUGAAAGCUUUAAAUAAAUGCCACUUGAUACAGAUAAUUUCACGAUGGCCAA